GUUGGAAAUGAAAUUAUUGUCCAUUGAUAAUAUUGGAAAUAUUGUUAGAAAACAUUAAUAUUGUUCGUGUGUGGUUUGAAAGUCUGUUCUUGUUUGAUCCUUCGGAUUGUCACAAUAGUGCAUAGGUAACUAAUUGUAUCUGUUUCCGUAAGAAUUGUUUGAAUCGUCAUGGAUUGUUUUGAUAUUCGGGCUCCUGAAUUGAUGUUCUGUAGUCAAGUGGCGAUUGACCUGUAUGGUAUCGUUCCUAACAUCACAUAAGUAGAUUUUUAUAAAUUGGCUUAGGGUUCUGUUUGUCUCCUUAUGGUUGAUAAAUUUCUGUCUCCACCUGGUAAGGUUGUUUGACUUUUCCUUUGUUGUCAUAAAGAAGGUUCGGGCCUCUACCAUAUUGUUGUGAAGAGGUUUUUGAUAUUGUUGUUGAAAACUUCAGAUGGUGGUUACUUGUUAUGUUUGUAAUUUGAAUUGUCUUUGAUGGUUUCUAAUUGAUAAACAUGAUGUUGAUUUGCCUCUUCUUGUUUUCUGAGUUCUUCUACGGUUCUUGUAGUUAGAAAGGAUGUUUGGACUUCUGGGGACUACAUGUCGUUGUUGUGGACUGGCUUGGCAGCGAGGGUGGGACUCGCGCCUUCUUACCCUUUUUAAUGAAAUAAAUAAGACAACUCAAUUUGCUGGUUGGAACAAGGAUUGUAAUGUAAUGUAAUGUCAUGUUUCUUUUCUUUUUGAUCGUAAAAUAUUACAAUGCAUAAAUCAUACAGAUUAAUAACAGAUAACAUUAUCAAUUGACAAUAAAAAAUAUAUUUCUAUUUCAAAUAUUGCUCGAAUUAAACUUAUUAUAUUUAUUGAAUUAUUUCCUAUUAAUUUUCAAUUAAUUUAUUUUAUUAAAUUACUUUAAUUAACAUUAUAUAGCUUACCUUUUUAAUGAAAUAAAUAAGACAACUCAAUUUGCUGGUUGGAACAAGGAUUGUAAUGUAAUGUACGGGCAGUAGACUUAUAUUUGCUUUUAUAGUCACUACUCAUUACCCGACAUUCCUGUUCCCCAGACAAGAUUGAGCGUCUUUUGUAAAAGAUGGAAUGUGUUGCCAAAACAUUUAUUGCUUCAUAAUAUGCAAAAUGUAUUUAUUUGUUUUUGAAAAGCAUUUGGACUUUUAUUUCUUAAAUUAAAUAAAAUAAUAUUUUUGUAAGAAUUUCAAUUUCUGAUCUUUAUUAUAAUUGAUAAUUAAAGAUUUGUUAAAUUUUAAUUAAUAUCUUGUGUACGUCAAUCUUCGUAUCUAAACUUUUUGAUUGGUUAUUAAUACAAUCUUGUGUGCCUAAAUGUAUUACUGAAUAUUCAUGAUGCUGUAGUAUCUACACAUUCUGUGAAUAUGGUUAUAACCUUGGAUGUAAUAUCAAUUCAACAUACAUAUGUCCGUCGACCUAGCAACCUUCUAACAAGUGCCAAAUAACUAAUGAGGUUCUUGACUUGUACUAUCUUUGCUUGUCAUGCAUCUAAGAUAAUGGCUUGUUAUUCGCUAGCUUCUUUAUGUGUUUUCUUCUUACUUUUAUUUUCCUAUAUCAAUGAAUCAUUUUGACCUUUAUAUAAUCUUUUACUUGGAACUAUCUUAAUUACCUAUAAACCUAUAUUUUUGUUUAAAUAAGAUCUAUUUUAUUUCAAUUUCUAAUUAUUUCUAAAAGUGUCCUAAAUCCUUUCAUAACAUUAUUGUUGUGAUGGUAUUUUUGGACAUCAGUUGUGAAAGGAAGUUCUUCGUCGACUGUUGUGACGGGGAUUUUAUGUUGUUUUAGUUGUUGUAAUGUUAACUUCCCAGGGAGGUCACUUGUUAAUGUUGUUAUUACGGUUGUCUUCGGUGGUUUCUAAAUUGAACAACAUGGUGUUGAUUUGCCUCCUCUCGUUUGCUCAGCUCUUCUACGAUUCUUGUAGGUAGAAUGAUGUCUGGACAUCUGGGGACUACAUGUCGUUGUUGUGGACUGGCUUGGCAGCGAGGGUGGGACUCGCGCCUUCUUACCCUUUUUUAAUGAAAUAAAUAAGACAACUCAAUUUGCUGGUUGGAACAAGGAUUGUAAUGUAAUGUAAUGUCAUGUUUCUUUUCUUUUUGAUCGUAAAAUAUUACAAUGCAUAAAUCAUACAGAUUAAUAACAGAUAACAUUAUCAAUUGACAAUAAAAAUAUAUUUCUAUUUCAAAUAUUGCUCGAAUUAAACUUAUUAUAUUUAUUGAAUUAUUUCCUAUUAAUUUUCAAUUAAUUUAUUUUAUUAAAUUACUUUAAUUAACAUUAUAUAGCUUACCUUUUUAAUGAAAUAAAUAAGACAACUCAAUUUGCUGGUUGGAACAAGGAUUGUAAUGUAAUGUACGGGCAGUAGACUUAUAUUUGCUUUUAUAGUCACUACUCAUUACCCGACAUUCCUGUUCCCCAGACAAGAUUGAGCGUCUUUGUAAAAAGAUGGAAUGUGUUGCCAAAACAUUUAUUGCUUCAUAAUAUGCAAAAUGUAUUUAUUUGUUUUUUGAAAGCAUUUGGACUUUUAUUUCUUAAAUUAAAUAAAAUAAUAUUUUUGUAAGAAUUUCAAUUUCUGAUCUUUAUUAUAAUUGAUAAUUAAAGAUUUGUUAAAAUUUUAAUUAAUAUCUUGUGUACGUCAAUCUUCGUAUCUAAACUUUUUUUGAUUGGUUAUUAAUACAAUCUUGUGUGCCUAAAUGUAUUAACUGAAAUAUUCAUGAUGCUGUAGUAUCUACACAUUCUGUGAAUAUGGUUAUAACCUUGGAUGUAAUAUCAAUUCAACAUACAUAUGUCCGUCGACCUAGCAACCUUCUAAACAAGUGCCAAAUAACUAAUGAGGUUCUUGACUUGUACUAUUUUGCUUGUCAUGCAUCUAAGAUAAUGCUUGUUAUUCGCUAGCUUCUUUAUGUGUUUUCUUCUUACUUUAUUUUCCUAUAUCAAUGAAUCAUUUGACUUUAUAUAAUCUUUUACUUGGAACUAUCUUAAUUACCUAUAAACCUAUAUUUUUGUUUAAAUAAGAUCUAUUUUAUUUCAAUUUCUAAUUAUUUCUAAAAGUGUCCUAAAUCCUUUCAUAACAUUAUUGUUGUGAUGGUAUUUUUGGGACAUCAGUUGUGAAAGGAAGUUCUUCGUCGACUGUUGUGACGGGGAUUUUAUGUUGUUUUAGUUGUUGUAAUGUUAACUUCCCAGGGAGGUCACUUGUUAAUGUUGUUAUUACGGUUGUCUUCGGUGGUUUCUAAAUUGAACAACAUGGUGUUGAUUUGCCUCCUCUCGUUUGCUCAGUUCUUCUACGAUUCUUGUAGGUAGAAUGAUGUCUGGACAUCUGGGGACUACAUGUCGUUGUUGUGGACUGGCUUGGCAGCGAGGGUGGGACUCGCGCCUUCUUACCCUUUUUAAUGAAAUAAAUAAGACAACUCAAUUUGCUGGUUGGAACAAGGAUUGUAAUGUAAUGUAAUGUCAUGUUUUUUUUCUUUUUGAUCGUAAAAUAUUACAAUGCAUAAAUCAUACAGAUUAAUAACAGAUAACAUUAUCAAUUGACAAUAAAAAAUAUAUUUCUAUUUCAAAUAUUGCUCGAAUUAAACUUAUUAUAUUUAUUGAAUUAUUUCCUAUUAAUUUUCAAUUAAUUUAUUUUAUUAAAUUACUUUAAUUAACAUUAUAUAGCUUACCUUUUUAAUGAAAUAAAUAAGACAACUCAAUUUGCUGGUUGGAACAAGGAUUGUAAUGUAAUGUACGGGCAGUAGACUUAUAUUUGCUUUUAUAGUCACUACUCAUUACCCGACAUUCCUGUUCCCCAGACAAGAUUG
rnacentral:lncRNA from 1 species